UACGUAGGGUGCAAGCGUUAAUCGGAAUUACUGGGUGUAAAGGGUUCGUAGGCGGUGUGGCAAGUCGGGAGUGAAAUCUCUGGGCUCAACUCAGAGACUGCUUCCGAAACUGCUGUGCUGGAGUGUGGGAGAGGCGCGUGGAAUUGCAGGUGUAGCGGUGAAAUGCGUAGAUAUCUGCAGGAACACCCGUGGCGAAAGCGGCGCGCUGGACCACUACUGACGCUGAGGAACGAAAGCUAGGGGAGCAAACAGG
rnacentral:rRNA from 1 species